rnacentral:rRNA from 1 species
UACGGAGGAUCCAGGCGUUAUCCGGAUUUAUUAGGUUUAAAGGGUACGUAGGCGGAGAAAUAAGUCAGUGGUGAAAUCCUGCAGCUCAACUGUAGAACUGCCAUUGAAACUGUUUUUCUUGAGUAUAGUUGAGGUGGGCGGAAUGUGUCAUGUAGCGGUGAAAUGCUUAGAUAUGACACAGAACACCGAUUGCGUAGGCAGCUCACUAAACUAUCACUGACGCUGAGGUACGAAAGCGUGGGGAGCGAACAGG